AGGUAAGCUACUAAGAGCGAAUGGUGGAUGCCUUGACUGGUAAAGGCGAUGAAGGACGUACUAGACUGCGAUAAGCUACGGGGAGCUGUCAAGAAGCUUUGAUCCGUAGAUUUCCGAAUGGGGCAACCCAAUGUAUAGAGAUAUACAUUACCUAUAUAGGAGCGAACGAGGGGAAUUGAAACAUCUUAGUACCCUCAGGAAAAGAAAUCAAUAGAGAUUGCGUCAGUAGCGGCGAGCGAAAGCGCAAGAGGGCAAACCCAGUGCUUGCACUGGGGGUUGUAGGACUGCAAUGUGCAAGAGGUAAGUUUAGCAGAACAUUCUGGAAAGUAUAACCAUAGAGGGUGAUAGUCCCGUAUGCGAAAAACAAACCUUAGCUAGCAGUAUCCUGAGUAGGGCGGGACACGAGGAAUCCUGUCUGAAUCCGGGUCGACCACGAUCCAACCCUAAAUACUAAUACCAGAUCGAUAGUGCACAAGUACCGUGAGGGAAAGGUGAAAAGAACUGAGGUGAUCAGAGUGAAAUAGAACCUGAAACCAUUUGCUUACAAUCAUUCAGAGCCCUAUGUAGGAAUACAGGGUGAUGGACUGCCUUUUGCAUAAUGAGCCUGCGAGUUGUGGUGUCUGGCAAGGUUAAGCAAACGCGAAGCCGUAGCGAAAGCGAGUCUGAAUAGGGCGCUUAGUCAGAUGCUGCAGACCCGAAACGAAGUGAUCUAUCCAUGAGCAAGUUGAAGCUAGUGUAAGAACUAGUGGAGGACUGAACCCAUAGGCGUUGAAAAGCCCCGGGAUGACUUGUGGAUAGGGGUGAAAGGCCAAUCAAACUUCGUGAUAGCUGGUUCUCUCCGAAAUAUAUUUAGGUAUAGCGUUGUGUCGUAAUAUAAGGGGGUAGAGCACUGAAUGGGCUAGGGCAUACACCAAUGUACCAAACCCUAUCAAACUCCGAAUACCUUAUAUGUAAUCACAGCAGUCAGGCGGCGAGUGAUAAAAUCCGUCGUCAAGAGGGAAACAACCCAGACUACCAGCUAAGGUCCCUAAAUCUUACUUAAGUGGAAAACGAUGUGAAGUUACUUAAACAACCAGGAGGUUGGCUUAGAAGCAGCCAUCCUUUAAAGAAAGCGUAAUAGCUCACUGGUCUAGUGAUUUUGCGCGGAAAAUAUAACGGGGCUAAAGUAAGUACCGAAGCUGUAGACUUAGUUUACUAAGUGGUAGGAGAGCGUUCUAUUUGCG
rnacentral:rRNA from 1 species